rnacentral:rRNA from 1 species
ACUGGGACUGAGACACGGCCCAGACUCCUACGGGAGGCAGCAGUGGGGAAUAUUGCACAAUGGGCGGAAGCCUGAUGCAGCGACGCCGCGUGAGGGAUGACGGCCUUCGGGUUGUAAACCUCUUUCAGCAGGGACGAAGCGUAAGUGACGGUACCUGCAGAAGAAGCGCCGGCCAACUACGUGCCAGCAGCCGCGGUAAGACGUAGGGCGCGAGCGUUGUCCGGAAUUAUUGGGCGUAAAGAGCUCGUAGGCGGCUUGUUGCGUCGGCUGUGAAAACCUAGGGCUUAACUCUGGGCUUGCAGCCGAUACGGGCAGGCUAGAAUUCGGUAGGGGAGACUGGAAUUCCUGGUGUAGCGGUGAAAUGCGCAGAUAUCAGGAGGAACACCGGUGGCGAAGGCGGGUCUCUGGGCCGAUAUUGACGCUGAGGAGCGAAAGCGUGGGGAGCGAACAGGAUUAGAUACCCUGGUAGUCCACGCUGUAAACGUUGGGCGCUAGGUGUGGGGGACCUCUCCGGUUCUCUGUGCCGCAGCUAACGCAUUAAGCGCCCCGCCUGGGGAGUACGGCCGCAAGGC